rnacentral:rRNA from 1 species
GGAGAACUUUUGAGAUCGUAAGACCUUGCGUUAUUCGAGCGGCCGACCUCUGAUUAGCUAGUAGGUGAGGUAAGAGCUCACCUAGGCGACGAUCAGUAGCGGGUCUGAGAGGAUGAUCCGCCACACUGGGACUGAGACACGGCCCAGACUCCUACGGGGGGCAGCAGUGGGGAAUUUUGGACAAUGGGCGCAAGCCUGAUCCAGCCAUGCCGCGUGUCUGAAGAAGGCCUUCGGGUUGUAAAGGACUUUUGUCAGGGAGGAAAUCCCUAGCGCUAAUAUCUCUGGGGGAUGACAGUACCUGAAGAAUAAGCACCGGCUAACUACGUGCCAGCAGCCGCGGUAAUACGUAGGGUGCAAGCGUUAAUCGGAAUUACUGGGCGUAAAGCGUGCGCAGGCGGUUAGAUAAGCCAGAUGUGAAAUCCCCGAGCUCAACUUGGGAACUGCGUUUGAAACUACAAAGCUAGAAGGG